GACUUCUUCGACUCCAUGUCGUUAAAUCUAGACCAAUAAUCUGAGCAAAGUGAGCCUCGAAGAGCAUAUACCAAAACAACUAGAUCCAGAUCUAGCGGGUACGUCCUCAACUUCAUCGAGAUUAUUUUGAUCUGUAGAUUAAAACCUUUUUAAACUUCUUUUUGCCUAUGUAAUCUAUUGUUGAUUUUUCUUUUAUUCUAUUUUUCCU